rnacentral:rRNA from 1 species
AAGAUGGCGACCGGCGCACGGGUGAGUAACACGUAUCCAACCUGCCGAUAACUCUGGAAUAGCCUUUCGAAAGAAAGAUUAAUACCGGAUGGCAUACGAAUAUCGCAUGAUAUUUUUAUUUAAAGAAUUUCGGUUAUCGAUGGGGAUGCGUUCCAUUAGUUUGUUGGCGGGGUAACGGCCCACCAAGACGACGAUGGAUAGGGGUUCUGAGAGGAAGGUCCCCCACAUUGGAACUGAGACACGGUCCAA